UUCAGAGAGAAAAUACACAGCACCACCCCCUGCCCUGGAUGCCAGGCACAGGACAGCACCCGAGUCCCCAUCCCGGGGGGCAAGGGUUUGAAGUGACCCAAGGCCACACUAGAAAACUCAGCCCCCCUGUCCCCUGACCUGGCCCAGGCGACCGUGGAGGCCAGGGCUGGAUGGGGAGCCCUCCUCCCCACAUCCUCUCAAGGAAAUGACUUUCCACACCAGUGUCUGGAGAAAGGAUGGGUGUGGACCCGAAGUCCUGAUCCACUCCAGGGGAAGGGACAGAGAGGUGGGCGCCAGGUCUCCUUCAGGCCACCCGUGAACCUGCGUCGCCCCCGUCGUUGGCCCUGGCUCUGGGUUCUCACACGGUGGGCAUUAAGCUCGCACCGAGGAGUGAGGACGCUGGCACAGGGUAGCCAGGGAGCUCUGCCUGCUCUCCCCCGACGAGACGGACACGCUGCAGAGAUACGGGUGCCAUGGGGUCUGGAACCAUCCCUCCCUGUCACCUGCUCUCCCUGGUAAGGAACAAUUCAACGGCCACCAGUGCUGCCCCUGAGAUGACCACCCGCGCCAGGCCUGGCCUUGGCCUCCCUGAACCCCAAGGACUCAACCUGACACCUGCCAUGUGAGGGGCUCCAGCCACAUCUGUCUGCAUUUAGCACCUGCCAUGGAGCCCCGGCCCCUGGGGAGCUGCAGACGCCAGGAGGGGCUGCCUCGGAGUCCUCCGGGGAGACUGGAGCAUGGACAGCCUAGAUAGCAGCCCCCAGGUGCUGGACACAGGGUGCGAGGCUGCAGUGCUGGCCUUCUGACACCCGAGACUUCGCAGCAUGGGCCUCUGGGGUGGCCAGAGAAGAGAAGAGGUGGGCAGAGCCAGGCAGAGCAAAAACAGCUUUUGGGAAGACAGCACCUGGCACUGGGCACCAGCAGCCCGAGGGCACCCUGAGGAUGCCAACCUGUAGCCAUAGGAGAUGCAGUGGACAGGACUGCAGGCCAGGGGCUGGACACCCAGGCCAGUGGCACCCUCAGUCAGCCUGGCCUUUGCCCCCAUCACUCAGGGGAUGCCAAGACCCUCGGUGGCCCCCACCCCCUCUCGGCUUCACUCAGGCUUACAGCGGAGGCCGGCGCCGGGGGCAGUGUGCACAGACUAUCGCGGGAUCUCGCCUUUGUCCACAUAAACGCCACUUGCUAGGCCUGGCGCUCCCCUGCCUGAUGGAAUAUUGAUCCUCAGAGUGCAAA